rnacentral:lncRNA from 1 species
GGUCACUUCCGGUUUGUUGGAAGUCAUUUUUAGUCUUCAGUAAUCAGUUUAUGUAUCUAUAUGACAAAAUAUAUGGAUUCUGAGUACUUUUAUACGAAAAAAUUGCAAAAAAAGGUUACUUCCGGUUUUCUAAAGGUCACUUCCGGUAGUCAUUUUUCAAGGUCAUUUGUCAUCCAACCUUUUGCACAAGGUCAAAUGCCAUUAAAAUGCACUUAGUUGAAGUUAUAAUCAAAUAACCUCAUAUCAAGACUUUUCAGGGGCACUAACUCCUAUUAGAUGCUAUUUAAUUGUAUCAGACCAAAUGUAACAUAUCUUCAUAACUAUAUAGCAAUCAUUUUGCACUUGUUCUUUAAUAUGUACCUUUUCAAGGGUUGGAGAAAAUGCAAAAACAUGGAAAAUUCCGAAUUUAGAACUUGACCUUGACCUUUGACCUUGACCCCAUUUUCUAAUAAAGGGCCUAGGGAUCUCAAAUAAAUACAUUCCAGGGUUAUACGGUUGACGGUUUAUUAGUUAAUAACACAUAUUGAGAAAAUAAUUUUGUAAAGGUAGAUAACUCCUAUAAAAUUUCAUCGAAUCGCUUCGAUCCAAAUUAGCCAAAUUUUCCUUAGGAUGUAAUGAACAAUUUGUAAAAAGAAUUUUGUCGCUUUCUUUUUUUGUUACAAAGGAGAUGCACUCUGAUGAUAAACAGUGAAUAGGGAGAUAACUCUUACAAAGAAAAGUGUUCGGCUUAGCAGGGUUAAAUGUAAAAGCGCAUAAACUGUACGAUACAAUAUGAGAAAUAUCUAAGCGACAUAUUGCGAAACAAACAUUUGUCGCAAUAUCAAAAUUAGGCGGAAGAAAAAAAAAAAAAAAAAAAAAUAAUAAUAAUCAGAAGAAAUACAAUAGGUCUUUCCACAGAAAAGUGGAAAGACCUAAUAAUUUAAAA